GAUGAACGCUGGCGGCGUGCUUAACACAUGCAAGUCGAGCGAAGCACUUUUGCGGAUUUCUUCGGAUUGAAGCAACUGUGACUGAGCGGGCGCGGGUCGAAGGUACGCGUGGUAACCGGCCGUCAUACAGGGGAUAACAGUUCGGAACGGCGUGCUAAUACCGCAUAAGCGCACAGUACCGCAUGGUAACCGUGUGAAAACUCCGGUGGUUAUUGAGAUGGACCCGCGUCUGAUUAGCUAGGUUGGUGGGGUAACGGCCUACCGAAGGCGACGAUCAGUAGCCGACCUGAGAGGUGACCGGCACAUUGGGACUGAGACACGGCCAA
rnacentral:rRNA from 1 species